AGCGAACGUUUGCGGCGGGCCUAACACAUGCAAGUCGAACGAUAACCCAGCUUGCUGGGGGAAAGUGGCGCACGGGUGCGUAACACGUGGGUAAUCAACCCUUUGGAUCGGGACAACCCGGGGAAACUCGGGCUAAUACCGGAUAAGUCGUGGGAGCUCUCGGGCACCCACGGGAAAGGUCCGCAAGGGCUACCAAUGGACGAGCUCGCGGCCCAUCAGCUUGUUGGUGAGGUAAUGGCUCACCAAGGCUAAGACGGGUAGCUGGUCUGAGAGGAUGAUCAGCCACACUGGAACUGAGACACGGUCCAGACUCCUACGGGAGGCAGCAGUGGGGAAUAUUGGACAAUGGGCGAAAGCCUGAUCCAGCAAUGCCGCGUGUGUGGAGAAGGCCUGAGGGUUGUAAAGCACUUUCAAUCGUGAAGAAAAGUUAGCAGGCUAAUACCCUGUGACCUUGACGUUAACGAUACAAGAAGCACCGGCUAACUCCGUGCCAGCAGCCGCGGU
rnacentral:rRNA from 1 species